GUAGGGGGCUAGCGUUGUCCGGAUUUAUUGGGCGUAAAGAGCUCGUAGGUGGUUCGGUAAGUCGGGUGUGAAAUCUCCAGGCUCAACCUGGAGGGGUCAUUCGAUACUGCCGUGACUAGAGUUCGGUAGAGGAGUGUGGAAUUCCUGGUGGAGCGGUGAAAUGCGCAGAGAUCAGGAGGAACACCCGUAGCGAAGGCGGCACUCUGGGCCGAUACUGACACUGAGGAGCGAAAGCGUGGGGAGCGAACAGGAUUAGAUACCCUGGUAGUCCACGCCGUAAACGUUGGGCACUAGGUGUGGGAUUCUAUCGACGGAUUCCGUGCCGUAGCUAACGCAUUAAGUGCCCCGCCUGGGGAGUACGGCCGCAAGG
rnacentral:rRNA from 1 species